rnacentral:tRNA from 1 species
UCCCCUGUAGCUCAAUUGGCAGAGCAACCGGCUGUUAACCGGUAGGUUGUUGGUUCGAGUCCAACCGGGGGAGCAA